UUCAUUAAUCUUUGCCCAUUUGCUGAGUGAGGACUCUCAAAAGACGAGAUGAAGAGCAACAGAGAGCGCUGCGGAAAAAAGGGUUGGUAGUCCCAAAGCUCUGCCCUCUUCUUCUUCGCCGCUUUCUCUUCUCUCUUAUCUUCAAGCUCUUUGUGAUUCCUCCUCAUCUCAUGGCGCCAUGCUCUUCUCUUUCCUUUUUCCAUUCCAUUCCAUUGCUGCUGCUGCUUUUGCUUCUGCUUCUCUGUUUCUUGUCUUGCUUUGGAGGCCAUGACGAUGCCCUAAUCACGUUCCAAUGCGAUCGCAGCGUGUGAAGGUGUGUAUGAUGUCUCCAUCGUUGAUCGAUUCCUCUUCUUUGCUGCUCUCUCUUCUCUCUCUGUAGCGAUGGUGUAGCGGCUCGGAUGGCCUGCUCUUUAGCAGGCAACCGCUGCUCCCGUUCUCGUAGAGGGAGGGGUUGGUGUGUUGUGGGAGAAAAGGAAUGGUCUUGGUGGGUGGUAUCAUGGAUUAAUGGCGAAUCCGAGCCUCUUCUGUAUGAGGGAUUUGAACCCUCUGGUACUAUUGCUACCAAUGAUGAUGAUGAUGAUGAUGAUGAUCAUGAUGAUGCUUAUUAAUGGCGAUGUUGCGCUCGUGUUCGCUUGGCUGUGAUGAUUUGCGGUAGAACUGCCUCGAGAUCAAGUGGCGUGGCAGCUACUGCUGCAGUCCUUGAUUCAGUGUUUCUCUCUGAUAAUAAAGGUCAGAUCUGAGCCUUUUCCCUCUUUAUUCUUCUGAAAAUGAUGGAGGAAAGGAAAGGAAAGGAUGCAAUGCUAUCAGAUAUAUAUAUAUAUAUAUAUAUAUAUAUAUAUAUAAAUGAAAUAAAAUAGAAUAAAUAAAGUCAUCCAAAUUCCACACUUCAAUUAUGUGUGAAGAGGAGGGGUCUUGGUGGUAUCAUGGAUUAAUGGUGAAUCCGAGCCUCUUCUCUAUGAGGGAUGAUGCUUAUGCUUAUUAAUGGCAAUGCUUCUUGUUUGUGUUCGCUUGGCUGUGAUGAUUUGCCCCAAAAGCCUAAAUCGAGUGGCGUGGCAGCUACUGUUGCAGCCCUUGAUUCAGUGUUUAUCUCUGAUAAAAAGGUCAGAUCUGAGCCUAUUGCCCCUUGGUUCCUCUGAAAAUGAUGAAGGAAAAAGAAAAAGGAGGUGAUACAAUCAAAAAUAAAUAAAUAAAUAAAUAAAAAAUGGAUCUAUCAAAUUUCCAAGCAUCAAUUAUCUAUGUGUGUGGGCUGUGAUGUGUUUGUCCAUGGCUGGAGACAGCAACUUGGUUGCUAUGAAUCAUAAGAGUGAGAUUUCAAGUCCUCUCUAACGCUUUAUUUUCUUGCAUUGUUUCCUAAUUGCUCUUGUUUUGAAAGGGUGUGUAGAUCACCUUCACAUAAGAAGGAUGGUAAAAAGGUCAGAUCAAUGUUUAGCCAUUCAUUAAUUCUGCGUUCUUUUUGAUAGAAAGCUCAGGUCAAUGUUCCUUUGAGGAAAUUAACAAUGACUUUGAUGUUAUCUAUUUUCUUAAGAAAGCAAGGGGUUCAGUUUAUCUUGUUUCUUAUUGAUUUGUGGCCUCUCAAUUCCAUUCUUUGUUUUUAUGAGGCAGUGAUGAUUCACCCUUGCAUUCCUGUGUUAAAAUGCCAGGACACCUAUGUUGUGGUAUUUAAUAAUCUGCUAUCAGUAAAUUUGGUACUUAUCAAUAUGAAUUUAUAAGUCUUCUCUCAUGCAAUCAGCUAUUGUGUUGAAUUGGACCCAAUAUGUAUUUGUCUGAACUGUGUUCUGUACGUUUUGGCCUUGGCUAUGCAUCUUAGAAACAAAAUUUAGGUUGUAUUUGGAUCAUGAAAACAAGCUUUGAAAAAGAAAUGGCGGGGCUGAUCACUUCAGUGGCCAUAUUUGGUUCUAAUUUUGUAUUUAUGUGAUGAAAAGGGUGGAACUGAGCCUCCGCUUUCUUGUUUGAAGUACUUGUAAGCGUGGCAAGUAAGUCAUGUGUUUGGAUUGGUGGAAAGUAGGCAAAAUAAUGAAGAGUGCUAUUUCAUAAAUCUCCAUUAAAUCUUCAGGAGUGACAAUCUUUUGACACUUUAAUAAUGGCACAUUUCCCAUUUAUUUCUUCUGCUCCUAGGUGACUUUUUUUAAGGAAGAAAAUUUUCCCAAGUGGUGGCUUUUUUUAAGGAAGAAAAUUGCAUUCCUAAGCAAGUGAUGGUUUAGGAAAAAACCAAAGAACAAUAUGCAGCUGUUAGUCUUAAUUAUCUGCUCUAACAUAAGUCAAAAGGUGAGAUAAAGUAAGCGUAGAAUAUCAUUUUUGUAAAUUUUUUACUAAAUACUUUUGAAGUUGACAACUUCUUUGUCUAUGACUCUCCACUUGAAAAGCUUCCGCGCUUCAUCGUAAAGCAUCUACUUGUUUUGUACCAUUUUACUCGGUUUUCUCUUAAUUUGUCACUAGUAGGUGUCAUUCACAAUUUGUUUUGGAUAAAUACAUUUCUUAAUGCUUUUUUUCUUGUUACACAUGACGUCCAUCUCUGCAUUUUUAUCUCAGCCAUGCCUGUUCUUUAUAUUUGAUAUCUUUUAACCACCCAACAUUGUAGCCCGUACUUUAUUGGUCUAACGACUGUUCUGUAAAACAUGUUUUCAAUUUAAGAGGUAUUCUACUAUCACAUUAAACUUUAGAAGGUCCUCUUCGUUUUUAGCCAACUUGCUUUAAUAUUAUUUGUGAUGUCUUUUAUAAUUUCCCCAUCAUCUUGGAUUAGAGAGCUUAGGUAGUGAAAUUCUCUAUGUUUACCAAUCUUGUAUCAUCCUUUUGAUUUAGAAAAAUAAGAUAAUAUUAAUUAUUUUUAUUUUUAUCAUUUUUUUUUACAAAUUGGAUAAGCCACAUUUGGAGUGUGCACAAGCGUGGCAUUAAUGCUUUAAUGCACCAUGUGCCGGAGACUUGAUGCCAAUAAACUAAGAGGUCGUUGACAAUAAUAUAUGAAUUUUGAUUUCGGCCCUCUCGUGACAUUUAUGUACAUCUUUGGAAACAUGAAAUUACAUAAUAACCUCAUAAAAUUUCAUCUCUUUAAAAAAUCAUGCACGUUGUGUUGGAGAAGAGUACUAUGACCAGCUGUGAUGAUUUAACCUCAAAGAGUAUUGGCGGGCCAGCUAAGGUGAGGGGUGAUUCUCCAUGUCAUUUCUGCUGCCAUCCCUAAUGCAUGUUUCAGUAUUAUGUUUGAUUCAAGGUCAAAUAUGAGCUUUAUACUUGAAGUUGUUGUUGUUAUUGUUGUUUUUGCAGCUGCCGCAACCAGCCAGACUACUUUGUUGACUGUGACCUCAGUAUGGUGUAAGUUAGUGAGUGCCUAUACCAUUCAAGUUACAAAAGGGAACAGUUUUCUUCUCCUAUCCUUUUAUGUCCAGAUUUUGGCCAGUAGUCUGCUUGCACAUGGAUUAUAUUCAUGCGAGUGCGUGUGCACAUAUGUAUUCCCAGGAGUGGUGCAACUUCCAAGUGCCACUUGGCAGCUGUUUGUUAUUUUACACGAGUGAAAAUAACAGUUGGAGAUUGCAGGCGACAUUCUUUUGUUUUCUUUCCAUUGUACCAGUUAUAAGUUUGGUCUUUUCCAUCUUUACCUCCUUUUUGUCACAGUUUAUGAGUAUCAAGUGGCUGAUGAUUUCUCCUCAAGUUAAGUUGUGUUAGGAUUGUGGAGAAUAGAAAUGGAAGUGGUUUUUUUACUUGCCACCCCUUGGUUUUUGAGUAUUACCCCCCGCUCUUAAAGUAACUUUGAUGGUUUACUAUGAUUUAGAAUGCCUUUUUUCUUA